UACGGAGGAUGCGAGCGUUAUCCGGAUUUAUUGGGUUUAAAGGGUGCGUAGGCGGAUCGUUAAGUCAGUGGUCAAAUUGAGGGGCUCAACCCCUUCCCGCCAUUGAAACUGGCGAUCUUGAGUGGAAGAGAAGUAUGCGGAAUGCGUGGUGUAGCGGUGAAAUGCAUAGAUAUCACGCAGAACCCCGAUUGCGAAGGCAGCAUGCCGGCUUCCUACUGACGCUGAAGCACGAAAGCGUGGGGAUCGAGCAGG
rnacentral:rRNA from 1 species